CGAAAAGGAGCAUAACGAACAGCUACCGCCACCAUCCUCUGCAAGUACAAUUCCCUCGAACCAAAUCAUGAGAAUGAUCAAGACCAUGGCCAAUGCGCUAAUAGGUGCACUUUCCAGGGCUAAUCAGGUGUCCCAAAGCUCCACUCCAACUAUUCCUACCCCCAUCACUCCUACCUUUGUCCCCACCCCCACUGACACCCCUGCGACCUUCAGUACUCGUGUCAAUAAUGGUGUGAAAAGACAGUUUCCUGGAAUGUUUCAGCCACGAGAGGUGGCUGAAAGGAACCCUGCUCCUGUAAAGAAGUUGGACAUAACAUUCUACGUGUUACCCGGCCCUGCUACUUUAACGCCUAAGGGAUCC